rnacentral:rRNA from 1 species
CAGUCGCCGCGGUAAUACGAAGGGGGCUAGCGUUGCUCGGAAUGACUGGGCGUAAAGGGCGCGUAGGCGGAUUGCGCAGUCAGAUGUGAAAUUCCUGGGCUUAACCUGGGGGCUGCAUUUGAGACGCGUAGUCUAGAGUGUGAAAGAGGGUCGUGGAAUUCCCAGUGUAGAGGUGAAAUGCGUAGAUAUGCGGAGGAACACCGAUGGCGAAGGCAGCCCCCUGGGCCAACACUGACGCUCAUGCACGAAAGCGUGGGGAGCAAACAGGAUUAGAUACCCCGGUAGUCCCUGUCUCUUAUAC